GCCAGCGUGGGGGAGUGGUUUGAGUUUUGGACUAGGACUCUGAACACCUGGGUUCGAUUCCUAGCUCAGCCA